rnacentral:rRNA from 1 species
GACGAACGCUGGCGGCGUGCUUAACACAUGCAAGUCGAACGGAAAGGCCUGCUUUCCCUUGUGGAUUGCGGGUACUCGAGUGGCGAACGGGUGAGUAACUCGUGAGUGAUCUGCCCCCAACUUGGGUAUAAGCCUGGGAAACUGGGUCUAAUUCCCGAUAGGACUGCAGGGUGGUGCCUGUGGUGGAAAACGAUUUUCUAGUGGUUGGGGAUGAGCUCGCGGCCUAUCAGCUUGUUGGUGGGGUAAUGGCCUACCAAGGCGGCGACGGGUAGCCGGCCUGAGAGGGUGGACGGCCACAUUGGGACUGAGAUACGGCCCAGACUCCUACGGGAGGCAGCAGUGGGGAAUAUUGCACAAUGGGCGGAAGCCUGAUGCAGCGACGCCGCGUGGGGGAUGACGGCCUUCGGGUUGUAAACUCCUUUCGACCGCGAGGAAGCCACCUGGUUGGAAGGGUGGUGACGGUAGUGGUAGAAGAAGCACCGGCUAACUACGUG